rnacentral:rRNA from 1 species
UACGAAGGGUGCAAGCGUUACUCGGAAUUACUGGGCGUAAAGCGUGCGUAGGUGGUUUGUUAAGUCUGAUGUGAAAGCCCUGGGCUCAACCUGGGAAUGGCAUUGGAUACUGGCGAGCUAGAGUGCGGUAGAGGGUAGUGGAAUUCCCGGUGUAGCAGUGAAAUGCGUAGAGAUCGGGAGGAACAUCUGUGGCGAAGGCGACUACCUGGACCAGCACUGACACUGAGGCACGAAAGCGUGGGGAGCGAACAGG